AGAUUGAACGCUAGCGGGAUGCUUUACACAUGCAAGUCGAACGGCAGCGCGGACUUCGGUCUGGCGGCGAGUGGCGAACGGGUGAGUAAUAUAUCGGAACGUGCCCAGUAGCGGGGGAUAACUACGCGAAAGCGUGGCUAAUACCGCAUACGCCCUACGGGGGAAAGGGGGGAUCGCAAGACCUCUCACUAUUGGAGCGGCCGAUAUCAGAUUAGCUAGUUGGUGAGGUAAAGGCUCACCAAGGCGACGAUCUGUAGCUGGUUUGAGAGGACGACCAGCCACACUGGGACUGAGACACGGCCCAGACUCCUACGGGAGGCAGCAGUGGGGAAUUUGGACAAUGGGGGAAACCCUGAUCCAGCCAUCCCGCGUGUGCGAUGAAGGCCUUCGGGUUGUAAAGCGACUUUUGGACGAGGAAAGGAACGGCGUACGGCCUAAAGUACGGACG
rnacentral:rRNA from 1 species